rnacentral:rRNA from 1 species
UACGGGGGGGGCAAGCGUUGUUCGGAAUUACUGGGCGUAAAGGGCGCGUAGGCGGUCAGCACAAGUCAGUUGUGAAAUCUCCGGGCUUAACUCGGAAAGGUCAACUGAUACUGUGCGACUAGAGUGCGGAAGGGGCAACUGGAAUUCUCGGUGUAGCGGUGAAAUGCGUAGAUAUCGAGAGGAACACCUGCGGCGAAGGCGGGUUGCUGGGCCGACACUGACGCUGAUGCGCGAAAGCCAGGGGAGCGAACGGGG